AUACGGAGGGUGCAAGCGUUACUCGGAAUCACUGGGCGUAAAGCGCGCGCAGGCGGCUAUUUAAGUUGGAUGUGAAAGCCUACGGCUCAACCGUAGAACUGCAUCCAAAACUAUUUAGCUAGAGUGUGGGAGAGGAAGAUGGAAUUAGUUGUGUAGGGGUAAAAUCCGUAGAGAUAACUAGGAAUACCAAAAGCGAAGGCAAUCUUCUGGAACACUACUGAAGCUGAGGCGCGAAAGCGUGGGGAGCAAACAGGAGUAGAAACCCUUGUAGUCC
rnacentral:rRNA from 1 species